CCUACGGGGGGCAGCAGUGAGGAAUAUUGGUCAAUGGACGAGAGUCUGAACCAGCCAAGUAGCGUGAAGGAUGACUGCCCUAUGGGUUGUAAACUUCUUUUAUAUGGGAAUAAAACGUUCCACGUGUGGGAUUUUGUAUGUACCAUAUGAAUAAGGAUCGGCUAACUCCGUGCCAGCAGCCGCGGUAAUACGGAGGAUCCGAGCGUUAUCCGGAUUUAUUGGGUUUAAAGGGAGCGUAGGUGGAUUGUUAAGUCAGUUGUGAAAGUUUGUGGCUCAACCGUAAAAUUGCAGUUGAAACUGGCAGUCUUGAGUACAGUAGAGGUGGGCGGAAUUCGUGGUGUAGCGGUGAAAUGCUUAGAUAUCACGAAGAACUCCGAUUGCGAAGGCAGUUCACUGGACUGCAACUGACACUGAGGCUCGAAAGUGUGGGUAUCAAACAGGAUUAGAUACCCCGGUAGUC
rnacentral:rRNA from 1 species